rnacentral:rRNA from 1 species
AUUGAACGCUGGCGGCAGGCCUAACACAUGCAAGUCGAGCGGAUGAAGGGAGCUUGCUCCUGGAUUCAGCGGCGGACGGGUGAGUAAUGCCUAGGAAUCUGCCUGGUAGUGGGGGAUAACGUCCGGAAACGGGCGCUAAUACCGCAUACGUCCUGAGGGAGAAAGUGGGGGAUCUUCGGACCUCACGCUAUCAGAUGAGCCUAGGUCGGAUUAGCUAGUUGGUGGGGUAAAGGCCUACCAAGGCGACGAUCCGUAACUGGUCUGAGAGGAUGAUCAGUCACACUGGAACUGAGACACGGUCCAGACUCCUACGGGAGGCAGCAGUGGGGAAUAUUGGACAAUGGGCGAAAGCCUGAUCCAGCCAUGCCGCGUGUGUGAAGAAGGUCUUCGGAUUGUAAAGCACUUUAAGUUGGGAGGAAGGGCAGUAAGUUAAUACCUUGCUGUUUUGACGGUACCAACAGAAUAAGCACCGGCUAACUUCGCG